rnacentral:lncRNA from 1 species
AUGGUCAAGGUCAAGCGUUAGUCGGGUUGACGAGGUGUGCCCUUGCUGUGAUGCAAUACACGUGGAGCUUUGCCUCUGUGGUCUUCCCCACUAAAACUCACAGCCUUCAUCUCACCGUGAGAAAAAAAAAUCAGGCAAAUUCUGAUAGAGGAGCAUCCUACAAUAUCCCUCAUCAGUCCUCCUGAAAACCACCAAGAUCAUCCAAAACCCCGAGUCAGAAACUGUCACAGCAAGAGGGGUCUAAAGACACAUGAUGACUAGAUGUCACGUGAGACCCUGGAUGGGAUCCUGGAACAGAAAAUGGAUAUUAGGUAAAAACGAAGGAAAUCCGAAUAAUCUAGGGACUUUAGUUCCUAAUAAUACGUCGGUAUUGGUUCGCUAAUUAUAACAAAAUUACUAUACUAAUGUUAGGUAUUAAUAAUAGGGGCAUGGCAUAUGGGAACUCUGAACUAUAUGCUCAAUAUAUCUGUAAAUCUAAAACUAUUUUUUUUGAAGAGCAUCUUUUUUUUUUUUUUUUUUUUAACCCUGCAGCAAUGAGCUUUGGGAUGGACAGCCUGUGAACCAGACUCUCCCUCUCUCCAGGAAAUUUGGUGAGCUAUUCAGCAUCUUUUUAAUCUCUUUCUUGCUUAAACUAGCUGCAGUGAGAGCUCUGUUGUCUGCAACCAAGAAUCUAGACUAAUACCUGCAUUUAGUUAUUUACAUACAGUGUUUAAAAAAGAGAGAGCUGCAGGAGAUUUGGUGUCAUUUUCCAUUUUGAGCUGCGAUCAUUUUUAAAAUGCAGGAUAAUGUCUGCAAAGUACCUGGGGAUAGAGUCAGGACUAAUGAGAUAAUAUCUGCAAAAUGCUUUGAGUUCCCUGGAGCUGCUGAGAGGCAAGGAACAUGCAUUAUCAUCAUUAGAAAAAACAAGCUUUGAAAACUUUGGCAGGAAGGCGGAUAUAAGUGGAAAUCAGUUCAAUUACUCAUGCCUUUCAAAAUAGACAAGUUCUAUAAAAGUUAAAGUAUUUUUUUUUUUUGUAAAUCAAAUUCCUCUUCAUUUCCUCUGUCAAACAUUACUGUUCUAUGAUCUUUCAAUUAUUUUUGGUUGGACUCCCUUUGACAAUGUAUUGAAGCAGCUUUCGUUUCUCUGCUUCCAGAUUCUCUGGCAGAAUAUUCUCAAACUUCAAAUCUAUCUCCAUUUUGAGAAAAUAUACAAAGCAUAUGCUUUCUUUUAAUGUUACUUGAAAUUUCAAAACAACAUGGUGACCAAAACUAAACCAAUACAAUGAUAGGAAUAGAAGAAAAUAUUAUUUUUAUUUUUCAAAUUUUUUAUUUUAUUUAUUUACUUACCUAUUUAUUUUUUGAGACAGGGUCUUGCUCUGUUGCCCAGGCUGGAAGGCAGUGGCACGAUCACGGCCACAGCCUCCCAAGUAGCUGGGGCUACAGGUGUGCCCCACCGUAAUUGGCUAAUGUUUUAUUUAUUUUUGUUUUUUGUAGGGAGGGCAUCUCCCUAGGUUGUCUAGACUGGUCUCAAACUCCUGGGCUCAAGCGAUUCUCCUGCCUCAGCCUCCCAAAGUGCUGGAAUUUACAGGCGUGAAGCCACCACACUCGGCCAUCUUUAAAGAUACAUUAAAAAAAUUUGUCAGUUUAUAUAUGAGUAAGCUUGGAGUCUUGCAUUGGCAUCUUCUGAAGAAGAGGGAGAACAGAGCUCAUCAUGACCCUUUCAACAUCUAGCCUAACGCACUGUUUUGUUUUCAAAGUCC